ensembl:snRNA U6 U6 spliceosomal RNA
UUUCUCACUUUGGCAGCACACAGAAUAAAACUGAAACAAUAUACAGAAGUUCAGCAUGGUCCCUGCACAAGGGUGACACGCAAGUUCCUGAGGGAUUCCAUAUUUUU